AACGUAGGUGGCAAGCGUUAUCCGGAAUUACUGGGCGUAAAGCGUGCGCAGGCGGCUUUGCAAGACAGAUGUGAAAUCCCCCGGGCUUAACCUGGGAACUGCAUUUGUGACUGCAUGGCUGGAGUGCGGCAGAGGGGGAUGGAAUUCCGCGUGUAGCAGUGAAAUGCGUAGAUAUGCGGAGGAACACCGAUGGCGAAGGCAAUCCCCUGGGCCUGCACUGACGCUCAUGCACGAAAGCGUGGGGAGCGAAACAAGGAUUGAGAAACCCC
rnacentral:rRNA from 1 species